GCAUGUGGGCAAUCAAUUCAUAAAAUAAUGUUAAUUGAUUACUUUUAUUUAUUUCUUUUUUAUUCAUAUGAAAUGAAAAUGUAGGCCUCUACUUGGUUUGGGCAACUUCAAUGCACUUUGUUUGUUCCGUAUGUCGCCGCAAAUAAAAAUUAUAGACACAACACUCGCGAGCAGCCAGCGCAAGCGAUGUUUGAUCCAACAAAACACAAAGGGAAUGAUUUGACGUAUGCGAGGUAGCUGCUAUGGAAGAUAAGAGGUCAGAUAGUCUAAAACCCGGUUUAAUCGGCAGAUUCAUUCAGAAAUUACGAUGGCUGUGGUUAAACUACCUUUGUUUUCUUUCUCUCAACAUGCUCGAACCGUGGGAACAGGCUGUAUUUAAUAUUGUAAUAGUCCUUGUACUGAUGAUGGCAACUUAUUCAGCAUUUCUUUUCAUGCCUGGUCACUUCCAGAUGCUCACAAGGAAUUGGGGUUAUAUAGCAAAUUAGAACUUCCAUAAUUCCUCAGAGAAAAUUUACAGUACCAUUCAACAGUCUUCCAACUUUCACACAAUUGAUAUCCAAGAAGCUGAUUUUUUUUCCACCAGUGAGGCUCGUCUUGGUGUUUGAAACCUAAGUUUUGUGGAGCUUGAGUAUCAAAGUAAUGAUUGAACCUGUAACCAAGGAACAUGAAGAUAAGCACCGAGCCACACCAUCACUCUGAAUUGUAUAUAUCAAGUUUUAUGUGAGAGCUAAAAAUAUGUUUACCAUGCCAUUGAAGGGGUAAUACUUAAUUGACAGACGAAUGGACUUACACAGAAAUGUUUCCAUAAAGGACGUUUUUUGUUUUUUUUUGUUUUGUUUCGUGAAAGAAAAAAAUAAGGUUGGUGUAUUAUGUAAAAAUGCUGAUGGUGAAGUUUAAGAAACAUAAUGUUUUUUUUAUUUGGCCUUUCUGUUAUUCUUCUUAAUUCUAACUUCUAUUUUUAACAUAGAAUUUGUUAAAAAAUGAAAACACAUAAAUUGUACUACCAAUGAGAAACAAAACAGUAAAUAAUAUUGUAUAUUUUGCUUUUGUAUUCAAGGUAUUUGUAAUAUAAGCAAUACCUUAGAAAAUGUUAAUGAAUUUUGCAGUUUAAUAUGUCAUUAAAAUGUUAUAUGAAUGUUAUUGCAUCAUCAACAAUGAAACCAGAUUCAAGGGUGGGGUGAAGUUCCACAUGUCAGACAAAAAUGCAUCUUCUGCUCUCGGAUGUCAACCAAAAUAUGUUAAUUUUCCAAUCCAACCUAAAUUAUUGUGAUUACAAUUUCUUUAUUGUGGUUUACAAUUGUUACCACCAUUCUAAAAACCAAAAUGUCUUUCCCAUUAUCAUCAGUGGUUUCACCCCUGAAACCUAACCGUGGACCCUUAAAUUGGUAAUUUGCUUGAAAAAAUACUGUGCGGUUAUUGACUACCUAUUAAAAUAUUCUCUCAGUGAAAUAUAAAUGUACCAAAUUCACUUGCCCAUUGUCUCCAGCAAUAUCUUUUUUUUUUUAUAGACUGAUAGAUAAUACCAAAUUGACCCAAUAAAAUAUGUUGAUAACGAAUGUGUGCUUCACGUUGCAGUAAUUGCUAUCAUUACCAAAUCACAUCAGUACUUGAAGAUAUUAAAUUCCAUAUAGUGUGUGUGUCUGAAACAGCUAUUAGCCUUUGAAGGUCACUGACAUAUCUAUGAGGCCCUCCAAAAAAUGUAUGUUCCCUUCCCCACCCCCUUUUGAAAAUGGAGAUGUACCUAGCAAAAAAAGUAUGCUGAAGUACUCAAACAUCACAUCAUAUCACCUUAUUUGCCAGCUAAUUCCCCCUCAUUUAAUUAUGGCACCCCCACUUAACCUUUACAUCAGAUGUAUGCUGUAAUUGUUGACGUGAAUGAGCACUAAUGGAACUUUUCAAAAAUGAUCAAAAAUCUAUUACUAACAAAUUGUAUUAAACAAAUCAAUUCUUGAUUCAAUAUAUUUUUUCUAUUUAUUUUUCCCAUUUAUGUGCCGUUAUGACUAUAAUUCCACAGCACAGACAUUCCCAAGGUUGUUUUAUUUGUAACAAACUUAAGAUUUUACAGUAACUUUCUCACUUUUUAAAUUCUUAUAGAGUAUUAUCGCAUGGCGGUGUGCUAAUCUAAACUGUAUUAAUAUUUAUUAUAUUCUUUAAUUAGAUUUAAGAAGAUAGGAGUACCAGUAUGUUCUAAAAAAGACGCAGUUAUCGGUGCAGUAAUGUACAUGAGUACAAUGCAUGCAUACAGCACAUGCAUUACAAUGCAUGCAUGCUUAGGCCAUGAAGAUACAACUAAAAUACAGUACUGUAUAUUAUUAACUAUCUUCCUCAAACUGUCAUUGAGGAUUGCUAUUGUGUCGCUUGGUUUAAUGGUAUUUACACAAAGAUAAAUGCUUGUCUAGCACUCGAUAGGUAAACAAAUCUUGAGUCAGGAAUAUAAUGAACUGUGAAUUUAUCAAGUACAAAUAUUUGCUAUUGCCAUACAAACUGUGUCAGUGGGUCUGUAUGUUCCUAUCUUUUUCUAUGUAAUAGUGUGUGCUAUAUCUAAUUUCUCGUUAGAGUUACUGUUAUACAGUAUAUUAUCUACAGUUAGUCUGUAAACUGACCACAAUGGCAAGUAUAAAGGAGCGAACAGGAACAGACCAGCAUUUUUUGUACUUGAAGACUGCAGUCCUGCUCUUCAGUUUUUUCCCAUUUUUCCCUUUGUAUAAUUAUACCUUUGUGUACAUUAUUGAUUGCAUUGCAUGUCAUCUGUACAGUAUAAUAAUUAGGAACAAUAUUUUACUCAUUAUAUAGGUAAUAUGGAAAUUUUUCAUUUAAAUACAACUUUUAGACAUUGAACCUCAUAAUAUAGAUCUUACAAAUUCUAGAACUGAAUUUUUGAUUUGUGUUUUCAAAGCUGUCUAUGUUGUGUCAUUAGAUGUGAUACUGGUACAUGUAUACUGUAUUGCAUUUGAUUUUUAAAAGCAAAAACGAUUGUAAUGACUUUAAGCAAGUUAAUAGGAAAACUUAAAUUUGUUAAAAUAGUAUAUUUUGUAUGUGUGUAUUAUCAUCAUCAGUACGCUGCAUCAUCGUUUGACACUUUUUACUAACGUAUUUAUAUAUGAAAAAUGUUUAUAAAAAAACAUUCUAUUAUUAUAACAUUAUUAAUUAUCAUUUAAAGUCUGUGUUAAGCUUAAAAAAAUCAAUAUUUGAAUUGCCUGCUUUGUAUAAAGUUUUGUUUCAAAUUUAGAAUGAUAAUAUUUCCUUAAAAUUUCAAGACAUAAAUAAAACCAUAUUUGUGUGUAACACCCUUUAAUUUGCUGGUAAUACCUGUAAAUUUAAAGAUUAGAUCUGUUUAUCUACAACAUAAUCAUUUGUACCGCUCUAUUUUCAAUGGAUUCAUAACGCCUAGUGUCAAGUUCAGUGUACAAACAAAAGUGAAAAUGAUUGAUGUAAAGCAGUGAGAUUAAUUGUUUUGAUCUAUGUUUCAUUUGAAGUCAAUAACUUAUUUAAUCUAUUUACAUAAUUUCAUAUUUUAAGCUUUAUCCAGAUUUUAUUAGAAAAUUUAUAUUUAAUAAUUUGUGAAUAAUAAUACUUAUUAUUCUUGGACUUACUAAAUAUUCAUGAUGUUGGUAAUGUAAUAUGAAUAUUCAUAAUGUUAGCAAUGUAGUGUAUGCAUUGUGUUGGCAAAAUAUCAUGAAUAUUUAUAAGUUUGUUGAGGAACAAAAGCAGUUUUCUUGCCAUAUUGUAGUUUUUGGCUGAUUUUUUUUUGUGUGUGUCUAUGCAGCAUUUAAUUUACAUAAAUUUACAUUUCCUUCAUAAGGAACGAAACUCAACGAGUUGACCUUGUUAAGUGAGAUAUAUUUAUAGGAACUUUAUAGGAAGUGAAUAUUUUAUCAAUAUUAUUGUACAAUUCCUUUUAUGUGAAUACUGUAUGCCAUCUUCAGACAUAAAAAUGAAAAUAAUUUUCAAUUACACGUUUCCCUCUAAUUGAAGACCACUUUUGGGACCAGAGUUUCCUUCCAUAAUUUUUAGCAUCUUUGUUCUCCAAUUAGAAUAAUGUAAAAAUAAAAGAUAUUUGUUAAUUAUGAAACCACAGAAAAUUAGAGGGAGACCUGUAUUUAUCAUUAAUUAAUUUUAAGGUAUUUUUAAUGGUUCAGAUGAAUUUAACUUGGUAAGAUAUGGCAUCAACAGGUGGUUAUACAAAAUAAACAAAAAUAAAAAAUAUCCAGUUAUUA